ACGGGAGGCAGCAGUGAGGAAUAUUGGUCAAUGGGCGGAAGCCUGAACCAGCCAAGUCGCGUGAAGGAUGAAGGUAUUAUGUAUUGUAAACUUCUUUAGCUGUGGAGCAAUAAGGGCUAUGUAUAGCCUGAUGAGAGUACACAGAGAAUAAGGAUCGGCUAACUCCGUGCCAGCAGCCGCGGUAAUACGGAGGAUCCGAGCGUUAUCCGGAUUUAUUGGGUUUAAAGGGUGCGCAGGCGGCACGUUAAGUCAGCGGUGAAAUGUCGGGGCUCAACCCGGGCACUGCCGUUGAAACUGGCGAGCUUGAGUACGGAUGAAGUCGGCGGAAUGUGAUGUGUAGCGGUGAAAUGCUUAGAUAUGUCACAGAACACCGAUUGCGAAGGCAGCUGACUAAUCCGCAACUGACGCUCAGGCACGAAAGCGUGGGGAUCGAACAGGAUUAGAUACCCUGGUA
rnacentral:rRNA from 1 species